ACUGGCAAGUUGGAAAAAUGUGCAUAACUUCGAAACUAAUUGGAGAAUACGCAUGCGGAGAUGGCUUUAAAUUCAGCAUGAGUGUACCUAACGAACUCUAUACUUCUUUGCCCUGGAUUCACUUAACUUUUCUGCGAACUUUGGUCAACGUAGAGGACUAGGUGAAGAGGCACACUGGCAAGUUCGAAAAAUGUGCAUAACUUCGAAACUAAUUGGAGAAUACGCAUGCGGAGAUGGCUUUGAAUGCAGCAUGAGUGUAUCUAACGAACUCUAUACUUCUUUGCCCUGGAUUCACUUAACUUUUCUGCGAACUUUGGUCAACGUAGAGGACUAGGUGAAGAGGCACACUGGCAAGUUCGAAAAAUGUGCAUAACUUCGAAACUAAUUGGAGAAUGCGCAUGCGGAGAUGGCUUUAAAUGCAGCAUGAGUGUAUCUAACGAACUCUAUACUUCUUUGCCCUGGAUUCACUUAACUUUUCUGCGAACUUUGGUCAACGUAGAGGACUAGGUGCAGAGGCACACUGGCAAGUUCGAAAAAUGUGCAUAACUUCGAAACUAAUAGGAGAAUACGCAUGCGGAGAUGGCUUUGAAUGCAGCAGGAGUGUACCCAACGAACUCUAUACUUCUUUGCCCUGGAUUCACUUAACUUUUCUGCGAACUUUGGUCAACGUAGAGGACUAGGUGCAGAGGCACACUGGCAAGUUGGAAAAAUGUGCAUAACUUCGAAACUAAUUGGAGAAUACGCAUGCGGAGAUGGCUUUAAAUUCAGCAUGAGUGUACCCAACGAACUCUAUACUUCUUUGCCCUGGAUUCACUUAACUUUUCUGCGAACUUUGGUCAACGUAGAGGACUAGGUGAAGAGGCACACUGGCAAGUUGGAAAAAUGUGCAUAACUUCGAAACUAAUUGGAGAAUACGCAUGCGGAGAUGGCUUUAAAUUCAGCAUGAGUGUACCUAACGAACUCUAUACUUCUUUGCCCUGGAUUCACUUAACUUUUCUGCGAACUUUGGUCAACGUAGAGGACUAGGUGCAGAGGCACACUGGCAAGUUGGAAAAAUGUGCAUAACUUCGAAACUAAUUGGAGAAUACGCAUGCGGAGAUGGCCUUGGAUCGAGCAUUGAUGUACCUAAUUAACACUAUACUUUUUUACCCUAGAUUCUCUUAACUUUCCUGCGAACUUUGGUCAAAAAAGAAAAAGCGCGCUGGCCAAUGCUGCGCAUGAGGUAUGACUAUCCCUGUCAAAUGAAUUUGUUAUAUUUAUGCAUGAUUUCUUAACUCAGGAGAAUUACAAUUGCAAAACUUCAUUACUGGGACCUUUCAAAAUGAAUUAAAAAUCCACUUAAAAGAAUCUAUUACCGAUUUAAACCUUCAUUGAUCAGUAAAGUAUCGAAAAGCAUUUCGUAAUAAAUCCGUGCCGCAAUAAAUAACGAAUCGGCUCUUGAUAAAUAUAUCAAAUUUAAUGUUAUGCUGCCGAUCUAUCGAUUAUUAAUAACAUUAAGCAAACAUUGAAAUUUAGCGUGCAAGGCCGGUCAUCGUAAGUGGACGGUCAGUUGCAACAACCGAUCGUUGAUUGGAAAAAGGGCGAAAAGUUUUAAAAAAAAAUACACCAAACGAACAUAAUAGCGAACAUUAAUUCGCCUCCGGUCGACAUUUUACGAAAUACUAAAGUUUUUUGUGAAAGUAAGUCCGACACAAUAAGAAUUUAUGCAUCCAUUGUGAGAUUACCACUGAACUAUAACCGACUUCUUGUGUGCUUCAGGUAAUGCAGGUUGCUGUAAACUGUAAAACCGAAAAUGUCAGCCAGAUAAUGCUAUAAAGUUCUUCUUCGUGCCCCGAGAAAACGUAAAAUCUUUUAAGAAUUUUCAGAUUUACUGAGUAUACGGUCGCGCCGGCCAAUUCUAUUGUUUUCAAACACUAUAUUAAUUAAUAUCCGAGGA